GAUGAACGCUGGCGGCGUGCCUAAUACAUGCAAGUCGAACGAAACUUCUUUAUCACCGAGUGCUUGCACUCACCGAUAAAGAGUUGAGUGGCGAACGGGUGAGUAACACGUGGGCAACCUGCCCAAAAGAGGGGGAUAACACUUGGAAACAGGUGCUAAUACCGCAUAACCAUAGUUACCGCAUGGUAACUAUGUAAAAGGUGGCUAUACUACCGCCUUUGGAUGGGCCCGCGGCGCAUUAGCUAGUUGGUAGGGUAAAGGCUUGCCAAGGCAAUGAUGCGUAGCCGAAUUGAGAGGUUGAUCGGCCACAUUGGGACUGAGACACGGCCCAAACUCCUACGGGAGGCAGCAGUAGGGAAUCUUCCACAAUGGGCGAAAGCCUGAUGGAGCAACGCCGCGUGGGUGAAGAAGGUCUUCGGAUCGUAAAACCCUGUUGUUAGAGAAGAAAGUGCGUGAGAGUAACUGUUCACGUUUCGACGGUAUCUAACCAGAAAGCCACGGCUAACUACGUG
rnacentral:rRNA from 1 species